UGCCGUUUUAAUAAAUCCUGGCCAGUGGGAAUUAUUCGUCUUUCCCACCCAAUGUCGGCACAGCGCCACGCCGUGAAGGUUAAUAACCGGAAUUAAAUACAAACUGCUCAUUAUAGUUUUUUAGUGAAUCGGGAAGAAGAAAAAGAAAAAGGAGGAGUUCGAUGUGCACGAAACAUUUGAAUUUAAAGAAUUACUAGUUGCUCAGAAGGAAGUAACAUCAGCGCCACCGCGUCGACUUCCGACAUCUUGACUGACCGUGAGUCGCGUAGUAUCCAAAAUGGCAUGUUCAGCUGUCACACGUUACAGCUCUGAUAAUUCCAAGUGCCAGUCAAUAAAAGCAUAAUAAAUUAAUCCAUCGUGAUCUCACGAUGAUCAAUCCUCUUUAUCCUCUUUUAAAUAUAAGUGGAAUCGUGAAGGAUCGCGUGUCAGAAAUUUCUCCGGUUCGGCACGGAUGACGGACGGUAGAAACUGUGAAAUUUACCAAAAACCGAUUAUAUCCGCCAAUGUGAAAGUUGCCACUCGGAAACAGUAUAGAACUAUAAACGCUUCAAGGAGGAUGAGUCGCAGUAAAAUGAUACAAGAGAAUAGCUACUCUCUACGGUACAGUCAGUUCUAUCCUAACCUAACCAUAACCUAACUUACUGAGCGGAGAGGGACUCGCGUUUAACCACGUUUAACCGGGUUUAUCCGCGAGCCGUAAACGCGGUUACCUUUUAACGACACCGCAAUCGUCUGCCAGGCAGAAAGUGAAACUCCACUUGGACUACCAGGUAGCUCAGUGAGAAGAGUCACGGUGUAUAUAGAUAUACACGAUGAGGCGGAGAGGUCAAAAAAAUAAAGAACAAACAUCGAGAGAAAAAAUAGGAUACAUAAAGAGGAGACCCGGCAAGGACCUUUUACUCCGAUCGAGAAUCCUCCUCAAGAUCCUUAACCGGAUAUGUUAAGUAUUCCUGCAGCAUAAGACUUGGUAAUUCCAUGACUUUGCUGUGAGACGCGGCCAAUAUCGCUCAGAUAAAUCGCCGUCUUAUAAAUUCCCAGCGACAUGUGCAGCGCCUGCUUCUGCGUUACUACAAACAGGAAUACCUAUUGCGUGGCAGAAUGAAAGGGCCUGUAGCCACUGAAUCUCGUUCUCAAUCGCUAAACGAGACUCGCUCGCCUAAUCGCGGCAGGAUCAUUCUGCAAUGCUAAAUGGGGAUGCCCGAGGUGGCUGCAGAAGGUGGCGAGCACUUGUAGUACCUGAAAGAAUAACGAGAGAGAAUAGAAUGAAGUAAAAAGGGAUAAAAGGGAGAAAAAGGACUGAGGUAAGGUACAGAGCAUCGCUUUAAGAAUACCUUUAAGAUUACUCGCAUCUACCUUAACCGGAGGGCAAGUGAAAGUUCUUCUCGACAUACGCGACUUACACCAUAAGUGCGUCCGCACGCUGUAAGCGGGACAAUCUAUUUUGUAUAGCACUGUAUAUACCUGGCUGUAUCCAAACAUAGGUAAUGCGUACCGAGAAUGUGUAUUGCAUAUAGAUACGUCUGUCCAGAGCAAAUAGGUUUACCUAUGUGAAGAGAAUGGGAUACUUAUGGUGAUCCGUGGGAAUCUGAUGGAAAUAAACAUAUUUCUUUUUUUUUUUUAAUGCCAUCAGAUUCGGCGUGAUAAGAAUUCGCAAGGCUGCGCAAGAUCAAAGACCGGUAGGGGCGAUACGCAAAUUGAAAAAGAAAGACGCGAAGGUAUCCAGAAGACUGCUUGUUUCUUGGAAAAAAAAUGAUGUAUCAAAAUUAAUCGCCGGAUGCGAUCUAAUCGGUUCCCACGAUUCAAAUUAUGCAACUUCCACCCGAAACGAUCCUGCCAUUAUGAUGAGACCGGUAGUCGAAUUAGGCUAUGUUCAUUGAUCACUGAACAGUGGAUGUAUCAAUGGAUUUUACUGAAAACUCCGAUAACGCAAAAAGAAAUGAGGCUCCAUCUGUCCUUUUACUCAUUAUUCAAUAUUCCACGUAUAGCAGGGAAAAAGCCCUAAGCCAAUUACAAAGUCUCUAACGAGACAUUAACCAGAACUAAAGAUAUUAUCUGACCAGUUAUCAUCUGAAGGUACUUUUGGGUCAAUAGCAAGAAAAGCGUAUCGCCUCGAUCUUUAAAAUAUUUGACAAGUAAUCCAAGCUCCUCUCUGCAUAUACACACAGUACAGGAACUCAACUGGCAAGCUAAAGUCCGUAUACACGUAGCGACAGAAGUACUGAAACACUAUAGAGACAGUCGGGGCAGCAUAAUCUAGCCCAGAGUUGGCACACGUGGCUGCUAUAGUCCCAACCGAUGCUGAUGCGGCACAGCUAUCAUUAGCUAUGCAAAGCUUCUCCUACUUUUAAGAAAUCGAAACUUAACGGUUCGCUGCUCAGCAUCCUGAGACGAGGAUGAAGACGAGGACGAGGACGAGCCCUGAGGAUCGGAUAGGUUAGGUCAGGUAGACGAAGGUGCAGGCAGAGAAAGAUGACAUUAGAGGCUGCUGGGGUCAUUUAAAUAAAACGGAUCCAAAGGCGGCCCAACAUUAUUUCCCUAGGGUCCCCAUAGAUGGGUCUGAUAAUACAUAGCAUCGUUGUCAUCGUCCUUCACUGCACUGUCAUAAGUAUCAUUGGAAGCACGUGACGCUCCUUUGCGUCUUCCUGGGUAAUUUAGUGUCAUCGUACACACGUGUAAUUACGUAGGCCCAUUACCAACAGUGCAAUAUGGAUGACAGUUGCAAAAAGUUAUAAGAGGUGCAGUAGUCGACUUGGGACGCAUUACGCCACUGUUGCUAUCCAAUGUAGACUCUCUGAAGAUACUGUGUGAAAGCAUCUUAAUAUCAAUACUAAUAUUUCAAUCUGCAAAACAGUCGUACACUCAAUACCAUCGAGGCUGGUCUCGAUAAAAAAAAAUCAUAUUGCUAAUAAUUUACUAAGAAAAUGAAUUCUCUCAUUGAUGACCAAGUGGUACUGCAAUGCACGAUCAUGAUGCAUCAUCAUCAUCGUCAUCAUCAUAACCGCACAUCUAUUUGCGGUAUGGAGAUCUUUUAUUAUUCUUUUUUUUUUUUUUUUAAUCUAUCUCUAUCUCUUUUCAGUAACUCCCACGCAAUUUAUUACCGGUCUUUGCCAUCUUUGGAAGAGACAGUAUAUACCGAUGGCGCUUCGUGUCUUCCCCACGCACCGACGCCGAGCGUCGGUCCUCCAUACCAAUCUUCCAAUAUAUUAAUGCCAACUAUCAUCGCCGAUCUGUCCUCGUCGAUUUUCGAUGACUAUGACUUUCCAGCUCGCCGUUAUUCUUGUUAUUAUUAGUCAAUGCAAUCUCUAUUACUCAACGCCCGUAUCCUGAGUCAUCCCGACGCUUUAUAUAUACCGUCUAUUACAAACGUACAAUGCCGGAUAAGAAAUAGCAAGUUAUAUGUCACUUAGAAUGGAGACCGGACUGAUGGAUGGAUAUAUGGAUGGACAGAGACCCUGAAGGAGAAGGGGACCUGGCCUGGGUCUGCGAGGACCGGAACUGUUCUGCCAUUACAUAAAUGAACGGAAUAAAACAGCGUGGCUUACGUAAAGUGGCUUUUCGCUUUGGUUUGAAGGAUGCGUUGCAGGAUCUCACGGAUGGGUACUUCGCUUGCUGUUUGCUCGUUACGCCGAUAUUCUCAUACACGUCGCGAAUUUAUGGCGUCUACAAAUAUAGAAGAAAACACGAGAGGCACUGGCAGCGUCAGGACUAGAAGGAUAAAACAGAUAAAAAUGAUAAACCUUCCUUUCUAUAUUUGCGCUCCUUCAUUUUUCGCGCUUCUCUCACGGCCGAUGUCAUUUUUCUAUCACGCACUUCUCCUUUAUUAUUUCUAACAAUUAUGCUACUUGUGUAACAAAGAAUAACAAAGCACUGCGUAAUAGUCGAUCAGCACUACCGUAUCUUGUAGAGUAUAAGAUCCCGCUGGACUUUCUCGUCAAAGUACGAAUAUUUAUAAUUGCAAUAUUUAAUCGGCCUACUGUAUCCGUUCGUAUAAAACUGUCGGUACGGGCUUGUUGAAGAUGCAUAUAAAAGUUAAAGAAAGAGAAAAGGCAGAUUCAUCUACCUUGCGUCAUCCACCUGCCGCACGAACCGAGUCCGGUACCGGUUCGAGUAUCUGGUUCUGGUUGCGUUGGCCUAUCUGACAUCGUCCCAUUAAGCCAGCAGCCGGAUAAGAGGCUUGGUAUUUAGUUUUAAUUUGGUCGCGCGUAGAGUCAUUCUAACCACAAGAUUGGUAUACGAGAGGUCGGGCUGCGAUAGACGUGUAGACGUAGUAGACUACAGACGUAUUCGACUGUGUGCCCGACGUCUCGUCUCUCUUUCUCUCGUGCUCUCUCUAUAUAUAUAUACACAUAUGCAUACAAAGUCAUAAGGGGCCCAAAAGAGGCACAGGUGUACCAAAAUUAAUGAGUCACGGGCCCCGGCUCACGUUAACCAUUACAUGACUGUGUAGAUACCUUUAGAAAACACAAAGCUAUGUGAUAUUGGCAGUUAGAAAAAAGAAGUGGUAACAAUGGUGUCCUGCCGGAGGGUUGGGCGGUUGCCUGGGGCGACGGGGGGGUGUCGGGGAGGGGGAGGCAAUGGAAACUAAUGAUAAAAAAAGAUCAGUACCAAUUACAAGUGGCUGCAGACUGCCGAGUCCCAAUCGGAUAAAUCCUGGCCAUGUAGAAGACUAGGAGCUUCGUGAACUCUUGGCGUAGAUACCCGGGUGCUCGGCGUGGAUCGCGGAGGUGAACGAGGCGAGGAGAUGUUGCCGGCGAAGGAGGAGAACCUGGAGAACGGCGGAGAACGAGGAGGCGAACAACUUUCACGCGACGACGAGCUUCUUCGUAUCGGAAUGCUUCCGAGGCCAGUGUCGGCGGAGCUGAGGGGCCGACCUGACUGGCUGAUUGGGCCUGAUCGAAAUUACACAUUCUCCAAUGCGAAGAGUCUGCUCCUGCUGCUGCGGCCUGGGGGCUGUUUAUAUUUUUCAUCUUGAUCUUUUUCUCUUCCCUUUUAUCUUUUUUUUUAUUGUCUCAUUUCUCUCCCUUUUACGUAUGAAGUGUAAAGACUGAUCUUGGGGUCUGAUGUAAUAGGGCCCAUUCUGUUCCUUGGUAUUUUCAUCUUCCCGGCUGAUGUAUACUACCUGAUUGAUUUUAAUCAUCGGUACCGAUAAGAUUUAUAUAAUCUGGCGUUUAUUGAUCAUUCUUCUGUCGUAUCUUGGGUCCCUGUUAUAAGGCCCCUGGAACUUUACUCGAUCUCUACCAGUUUAUAGAUAUAGUUUCUGCGUAUGGGGAAAGUUUAUCUUAUUUAUUCACGGCGCUGCAGUCUAUUUUAAUGAACGAGCUCGUCGCCUCCGCGUCGUCCUCCUAGGAUACUGGGUCAGGUUAUGUCAUGUGACGUGAUUUUUCGAAUCACGGUCCCAAGGCGGCUCCGGUUAACGAUACAGAUAACGUUCUCGAUUUCUGGUUCCCUUCGGGUCGCCACCCUGUUCAGAAGCUACG